GCAGAACAGCUGGCGGCGUGCUUAACACAUGCAAGUCGAACGGAAAGGCCCGCUUGCGGGUACUCGAGUGGCGAACGGGUGAGUAACACGUGGGCAACCUGCCCUCAGCUCUGGGAUAACUCCGGGAAACCGGUGCUAAUACUGGAUAUCGACUUCUGCCUCGCAUGGGGUGUUGUUGAAAGUUUUUCGGCUGGGGAUGGGCCCGCGGCCUAUCAGCUUGUUGGUGGGGUGAUGGCCUACCAAGGCGACGACGGGUAGCCGGCCUGAGAGGGCGACCGGCCACACUGGGACUGAGACACGGCCCAGACUCCUACGGGAGGCAGCAGUGGGGAAUAUUGCGCAAUGGGCGGAAGCCUGACGCAGCGACGCCGCGUGAGGGAUGACGGCCUUCGGGUUGUAAACCUCUUUCAGCUCUGACGAAGCGAGAGUGACGGUAGGAGCAGAAGAAGCACCGGCCAACUACGUGCCAGCAGCCGCGGUAAUACGUAGGGUGCAAGCGUUGUCCGGAAUUAUUGGGCGUAAAGAGCUCGUAGGCGGUUUGUCGCGUCGAAUGUGAAAACCCGGGGCUCAACCCCGGGCCUGCAUUCGAUACGGGCAGACUAGAGUUCGGUAGGGGAGUCUGGAAUUCCUGGUGUAGCGGUGAAAUGCGCAGAUAUCAGGAGGAACACCGGUGGGCGAA
rnacentral:rRNA from 1 species